GGCUCUGGGGAUAGUAUGAUCGCAAGAUUGAAAAUUAAAGAAAUUGACGGAAGAAUACCACAAGGAGUGGAUUGUGCGGCUUAAUUUGACUCAACGCGAGGUAACUUACCAAUAUUUUAUUAUUUUGAGAGAACGGUUUUUUGUUUGAGAAUGA
rnacentral:rRNA from 1 species